rnacentral:rRNA from 1 species
CUACGGGCGGCAGCAGUAAGGAAUAUUGGGCAAUGGACGGAAGUCUGACCCAGCCAUCCCGCGUGCAGGAAGAAUGCCCUAUGGGUUGUAAACUGCUUUUGUUUGGGAAGAAAUGUACUUUUUUAAGAGUAUUUGACGGUACCAGACGAAUAAGCACCGGCUAACUCCGUGCCAGCAGCCGCGGUAAUACGGAGGGUGCAAGCGUUAUCCGGAAUCACUGGGUUUAAAGGGUGAGUAGGCGGCCAGAUAAGUCAGAGGUGAAAGUUUCCGGCUCAACCGGGAGAUUGCCUUUGAUACUGUUUGGCUUGAAUCAGAUUGAGGGUGGCGGAAUGUGACAUGUAGCGAUGAAAUGCAUAGAUAUGUCAUAGAACAUCGAUUGCGAAGGCAGCUGGCUGGAUCUGUAUUGACGCUGAGGCACGAAAGCGUGGGGAGCAAACAGGAUUAGAUACCCGCGUAGUC